CCUACGGGUGGCAGCAGUGAGGAAUAUUGGUCAAUGGACGAGAGUCUGAACCAGCCAAGUCGCGUGAAGGAUGACUGCCCUAUGGGUUGUACACUUCUUUUAUAUGGGAAUAAAAUGUUCCACGUGUGGGAUUUUGUAUGUACCAUAUGAAUAAGAAUCGGCUAACUCCGUUCCAGCAGCCGCGGUAAUACGGAGGAUCCGAUCGGUAUUCGGAUUUAUUGUGUUUAAAGGGAUCGUAGGUGGAUGGUUAAGUCAGUGGUGAAAGUUUGCGGCCCAACCGUAAAAGUGCAGUUGAGACUGGCAGUCUUGAGUACAGGAGAGGUGGGCGGAAUUCGGGGUGUAGCGGUGAAAUGCUUAGAUAUCACGAAGAACUCCGAUUGCGAAGGCAGCUCACUGGACUGCAACUGACACUGAGGCUCGAAAGUGUGGGUAUCAAACAGGAUUAGAUACCCGGGUAGUC
rnacentral:rRNA from 1 species